CUGGCAUUAAUAAGAUUUCACACCCAUUAUAUAUCCAAAUCAUCAUCUGGAUCCUCAUCUGAGUCUGGCCUCUCAUCAUCUGAGUCACGAAAAUAUAUUAUCUCACCCUCACCAGAGGCCUCAUUUCUUUGCAAAUUCCCAGUUGACGCAAGUGUUGCCUCAUUUUUGUUAUCCUCGAGAGAUCUUCGACCAUCAUAAAUUUGCAUGGGUUUGCCAUUUCCUUGGUGCUCAAAAGGGAGUACAACCUUAGCCCUUUCGGUCUGCUCCUUCUCUGACAGCUGCAGGCUAAACUGCACCUNCCUUUGGCAAAAGGCCUUGAUUAAUAGUUCCAUCUUCAGAUGAAACAGGUGUAAAAUUAAUUCCUGACUGCUCGAUAUGAAAUUCUUCACACAUCAAGCGUACACGCCCAUUUCGGCGCUUGAAUCUGACAUUAAGCUUUCCUUUCUGGAAAUUCUGUUUCAACAGAGAGACAUUUUCCGAAUCCCAUCUCUGCCCACUAGCAGAUGGAUUUAGUGGUUCCACAUUGGCCACCAUAGAGGACAUAUAUUCAACAGAAGAUGUCACCCUCACUUCAUGAAGGUCUGAAUGUAGCAACCAAUAGAUGCAAGAUAUUUGAUCAUGACUACGAAGGUUGCUUAAAAGGCCUGCAACUCUUGAAAGAGAAGCGUGUCUUAACAUUUCAUUUACCGAGUCUAUGGCAACUGAAAAAUGAGCUUUGCCCUGUCCAGCCAAUCCUUUCCCCAAUUCAAGAAUCAAAGAGUAUAAGUUGUCCAAAUCUCUCACAUCCUUACAAAGGUGAGUCACGCUAGAAGCUUCAUCUGAUAUACACAUAGCAUUUCCAGACUCCACAAGCUUACCCUUCCACCCAAGAGGAUCCGUAUAACAAUCCAAAAUCUGAAUCCAUUUAUGAAAGGAAGUAACAUCUAGU
rnacentral:misc_RNA from 1 species